rnacentral:rRNA from 1 species
GAUGAACGCUGGCGGCGUGCCUAAUACAUGCAAGUCGAGCGAACGGACGAGAAGCUUGCUUCUCUGAUGUUAGCGGCGGACGGGUGAGUAACACGUGGAUAACCUACCUAUAAGACUGGGAUAACUUCGGGAAACCGGAGCUAAUACCGGAUAAUAUUUUGAACCGCAUGGUUCAAAAGUGAAAGACGGUCUUGCUGUCACUUAUAGAUGGAUCCGCGCUGCAUUAGCUAGUUGGUAAGGUAACGGCUUACCAAGGCAACGAUGCAUAGCCGACCUGAGAGGGUGAUCGGCCACACUGGAACUGAGACACGGUCCAGACUCCUACGGGAGGCAGCAGUAGGGAAUCUUCCGCAAUGGGCGAAAGCCUGACGGAGCAACGCCGCGUGAGUGAUGAAGGUCUUCGGAUCGUAAAACUCUGUUAUUAGGGAAGAACAUAUGUGUAAGUAACUGUGCACAUCUUGACGGUACCUAAUCAGAAAGCCACGGCUAACUACGUGCCAGCAGCCGCGGUAAUACGUAGGUGGCAAGCGUUAUCCGGAAUUAUUGGGCGUAAAGCGCGCGUAGGCGGUUUUUUAAGUCUGAUGUGAAAGCCCACGGCUCAACCGUGGAGGGUCAUUGGAAACUGGAAAACUUGAGUGCAGAAGAGGAAAGUGGAAUUCCAUGUGUAGCGGUGAAAUGCGCAGAGAUAUGGAGGAACACCAGUGGCGAAGGCGACUUUCUGGUCUGUAACUGACGCUGAUGUGCGAAAGCGUGGGGAUCAAACAGGAUUAGAUACCCUGGUAGUCCACGCCGUAAACGAUGAGUGCUAAGUGUUAGGGGGUUUCCGCCCCUUAGUGCUGCAGCUAACGCAUUAAGCACUCCGCCUGGGGAGUACGACCGCAAGGUCGAAACUCAGAGGAAUUGACGGGGACCCGCACAAGCGGUGGAGCAUGUGGUUUAAUUCGAAGCAACGCGAAGAACCUUACCAAAUCUUGACAUCCUUUGACAACUCUAGAGAUAGAGCCUUCCCCUUCGGGGGACAAAGUGACAGGUGGUGCAUGGUUGUCGUCAGCUCGUGUCGUGAGAUGUUGGGUUAAGUCCCGCAACGAGCGCAACCCUUAAGCUUAGUUGCCAUCAUUAAGUUGGGCACUCUAAGUUGACUGCCGGUGACAAACCGGAGGAAGGUGGGGAUGACGUCAAAUCAUCAUGCCCCUUAUGAUUUGGGCUACACACGUGCUACAAUGGACAAUACAAAGGGCAGCGAAACCGCGAGGUCAAGCAAAUCCCAUAAAGUUGUUCUCAGUUCGGAUUGUAGUCUGCAACUCGACUACAUGAAGCUGGAAUCGCUAGUAAUCGUAGAUCAGCAUGCUACGGUGAAUACGUUUCCGGGUCU